rnacentral:rRNA from 1 species
GAUGAACGCUGGCGGCGUGCCUAAUACAUGCAAGUCGAGCGAAUGGAUUAAGAGCUUGCUCUUAUGAAGUUAGCGGCGGACGGGUGAGUAACACGUGGGUAACCUGCCCAUAAGACUGGGAUAACUCCGGGAAACCGGGGCUAAUACCGGAUAACAUUUUGAACCGCAUGGUUCGAAAUUGAAAGGCGGCUUCGGCUGUCACUUAUGGAUGGACCCGCGUCGCAUUAGCUAGUUGGUGAGGUAACGGCUCACCAAGGCAACGAUGCGUAGCCGACCUGAGAGGGUGAUCGGGCACACUGGGACUGAGACACGGCCCAGACUCCUACGGGAGGCAGCAGUAGGGAAUCUUCCGCAAUGGACGAAAGUCUGACGGAGCAACGACGCGUGAGUGAUGAAGGCUUUCGGGUCGUAAAACUCUGUUGUUAGGGAAGAACAAGUGCUAGUUGAAUAAGCUGACACCUUGACGGUACCUAACCAGAAAGCCACGGCUAACUACGUGCCAGCCGCCGCGGUAA